UGGGGGAUAUUGCACAAUGGGCGAAAGCCUGAUGCAGCGACGCCGCGUGGGGGAUGAAGGCUUUCGGGUUGUAAACCUCUUUCGCUAUCGAACAAGGCCCGCUUAGGGUGGGUUGAGGGUAGGUGGAGAAGAAGCGCCGGCUAACUACGUGCCAGCAGCCGCGGUAAUACGUAGGGCGCGAGCGUUGUCCGGAAUUAUUGGGCGUAAAGGGCUUGUAGGCGGCGUGUUGCGCCUGCUGUGAAAACGCGGGGCUUAACUUCGCGCGUGCAGUGGGUACGGGCAGGCUUGAGUGUGGUAGGGGUGACUGGAAUUCCAGGUGUAGCGGUGGAAUGCGCAGAUAUCUGGAGGAACACCGAUGGCGAAGGCAGGUCACUGGGCCAUUACUGACGCUGAGGAGCGAAAGCAUGGGUAGCGAACAGG
rnacentral:rRNA from 1 species